rnacentral:rRNA from 1 species
GACGAACGCUGGCGGCGUGCCUAAUACAUGCAAGUCGAACGAGAGCGACCGGUGCUUGCACUGGUCAAUCUAGUGGCGAACGGGUGAGUAACACGUGGGUAACCUGCCCAUCAGAGGGGGAUAACAUCCGGAAACGGAUGCUAAAACCGCAUAGGUCUUCGAACCGCAUGGUUUGAAGAGGAAAAGAGGCGCAAGCUUCUGCUGAUGGAUGGACCCGCGGUGCAUUAGCUAGUUGGUGAGGUAACGACUCACCAAGGCCGUGAUGCAUAGCCGACCUGAGAGGGUGAUCGGCCACAUUGGGACUGAGACACGGCCCAAACUCCUACGGGAGGCAGCAGUAGGGAAUCUUCCGCAAUGGACGCAAGUCUGACGGAGCAACGCCGCGUGAGUGAAGAAGAUUUUCGGAUCGUAAAACUCUGUUGUUAGAGAAGAACAAGUGCUAGAGUAACUGUUAGCGCCUUGACGGUAGCUAACCAGAAAGCCACGGCUAACUACGUG